rnacentral:misc_RNA from 1 species
UGUGGGAGCUGGCUUGCCUGCGAAAGCGGUGGGCCAGCUUGCAUCUCUGGCACUGAUGCACCGCUAUCGCAGGCAAGCCAGCUCCCACA